AUUGAACGCUGGCGGCAUGCCUUACACAUGCAAGUCGAACGGCAGCGGACCUUCGGGUGCCGGCGAGUGGCGAACGGGUGAGUAAUAUAUCGGAACGUACCUUUCAGUGGGGGAUAACGUAGCGAAAGUUACGCUAAUACCGCAUAUUCUGUGAGCAGGAAAGCAGGGGGUCGCAAGACCUUGCGCUGAUUGAGCGGCCGAUAUCAGAUUAGCUAGUUGGUGAGGUAAAGGCUCACCAAGGCGACGAUCUGUAGCGGGUCUGAGAGGAUGAUCCGCCACACUGGAACUGAGACACGGUCCAGACUCCUACGGGAGGCAGCAGUGGGGAAUUUUGGACAAUGGGCGCAAGCCUGAUCCAGCCAUGCCGCGUGAGUGAAGAAGGCC
rnacentral:rRNA from 1 species